UCAUGUUUCUGGCCCGUCUGCCUGCUAUGUUUGUCCCCGCAGUUCCCACCUCUCAUCAAGUUCAUCUGGUUCACCUGCAUGCUGAGUGCAAUCAGGCUCAUGUUUCCCACCUGUGCACAGCAGUUAUAUUCAGCUCUCAGGCAGGCAGACGGUGCCAGAUUUUUGAAAGCCUCAGAGUGAGUAGAUAUCCAGCAUUUCUUCCUGACCUGACCCCGUUCUGAACACUUUUCUGCCCCUCGGUUUUGCCUGCCUUGUCUAGCCCUCGUCGGAUUCUCCACUGGCUUCUGUUUUCUGGACGCGACCCUGUUUCUGUCCUCGGACCUCUGUCUCCUGCCUCGCCCUUUGGAUUUUGUCUGCUAGUAGUUGCCUGAACGUGCUGGACCCUUUUUCUGUGCCCUGACCACCGCUCUCUGCCUGACCCUCAGUCUAGUUUUACUCUGUCCUGCCUGCUCCUAGCUCCGUCCCUCCCUGGAGCUGCCACUGGUUGCCAGCCUUUGUGCUACCUGGACCACCCAUCCUCCACAAACGCUAGAAGUUCCGGUUCCUUUGCUGGUGGCUGCCUGUCCCUUACCCCGAACUUCAAUAAAGAACUUAUUAUUUUGUACUUUGUGUCUGACUGAAAUUUCGGGUCCUCAGUUCUGAUCAUUACA